rnacentral:rRNA from 1 species
UACGGGGGGGGCAAGCGUUGUUCGGAAUUACUGGGCGUAAAGGGCUCGUAGGCGGCCAACUAAGUCGGACGUGAAAUCCCUCGGCUUAACCGGGGAACUGCGUCUGAUACUGGAUGGCUUGAGUUUGGGAGAGGGAUGCGGAAUUCCAGGUGUAGCGGUGAAAUGCGUAGAUAUCGUAAGGAAGACCAGUGGCGAAGGCGGGUCUCUGGACAGUUCCUGACGCUGAAGCACGAAGGCCAGGGGAGCAAACGGG